CCCUUAGAUGUCCUGGGCUGCACGCGCGCUACACUGAUGUGUCCAGUAAGCACCUAACCUCUUCCGAAAGGAACGGGUAACCUUUGCAAAGCACAUCGUGAUGGGGAUAGAUUAUUGCAAUUAUUAAUCUUCAACGAGGAAUUCCUAGUAAGCGCGAGUCAUCAGCUCGUGCUGAUUACGUCCCUGCCCUUUGUACACACCGCCCGUCGCUCCUACCGAUUGAGUGUUCCGGUGAAUAAUUCGGACUGCAGCAGCGUGGGGACUCCUCAUGCUGCAGCGGAAAGUUUGGUGAACCUUAACACUUAGAGGAAGGAGAAGUCGUAACA
rnacentral:rRNA from 1 species